rnacentral:rRNA from 1 species
CCUACGGGUGGCUGCAGUAAGGAAUAUUGGACAAUGGACGAAAGUCUGAUCCAGCCAUGCCGCGUGAAGGAUUAAGGUCCUCUGGAUUGUAAACUUCUUUUAUAGGGGACGAAAAAAGGGCAUUCUUGCUCACUUGACGGUACUCUAUGAAUAAGCACCGGCUAACUCCGUGCCAGCAGCCGCGGUAAUACGGAGGGUGCAAGCGUUAUCCGGAUUCACUGGGUUUAAAGGGUGCGUAGGCGGGUAAGUAAGUCAGCGGUGAAAUCUCGGAGCUU